UUCAAGGGUUCUGGAACGUAUCUACCUUUACUUUUCCAUGAGGUCCUUUCAGAUAAGCCUACCGUUUCAUCUGCAUUAUCGAUUGGAGCUGACCAGAAGAACUCGUCGCAGCCAUCAGCAUUGUCUUCGUUUACAAUUGCUGUGAGUUCAGCAAUCUGAUGUUCGGUUACUCCGGUGACCUUGUAUACUUGAUUUGGAGUAGUCCUAACCAUUUGAUAUACAAUGGCCUUCUCUGCUAGGAUCGGGGACUUUUGUUGGGACAAUCGAGCGAACUCUACUGAAUUUUCUGAAAUUAGAUUUUUGUGGUUUUCAGGUUCGCUUUUCACAAAUUCUGAGCAGUCAACCGUGUCCUCUACAGAAAUUUCACUCAUAUUGUCGUCCUCAUUAAGCUCAGAUGCAUUUUCAACAUCAAUUUUGUUUUCAGAGCUCAAGUUGGAGUUUAAAGAGUCAAAUUUUUGUAUGGUUUCGGUUCUCAGUUUCAGUCUAUCAUUUUCAUCCAAAAGAUUUUUGAGCAUGUCCUUAUGGUCCUUGGAUUUAAUGAAAGAUUCUAUUUUGUCCAGUCCAUACAUAUAGGUCGGAUUAACGUCCUCAGAUGAUAUCACACAUUCAUAAUUAUAUGCUUCGGCAUCAAUUUCAUCCUCCUUAAACUCAAGGAGGGCAAAAUCAUGCGAUGAAUCUUUUUUCCUAUUUCACAAUCCAAAUGAAGUUGUGUAAUAUUAGUGUAAAGACGUUUGGCAAUCAAACAAAAAACAUUUCGCUGUUUUAAAAGCUUUAAAUUGUCUCUUUGUAAGUAAAUGUUUUCAUCUUUUAUUUUGACUAAUUUCGACUCCUUCAAUUCGAUCCACAUGCGCCGUUCCUCACUCUUCGAAGACACCUUGCUUAAUUGAUCAGCUACGUUAGAAUUGGUGACCCGAGUUUGAGUUAAACUACUAUCUAGAUGAGUGAUUUGAGAAUUAACAUUUUUUAGUUCUUUUUCAUAUGAGCAUUGUGGAACUUUAAAUGAGACAAAAACUGAUUGUACCUUCUUGAUUAGUUCAUCGAGCUCGUUGAACUGUAUGGUGAGCGGUUUGGCUGUAAAGCACAUAUCCUGUUGCUCCUUCGGUUCAUUGCUCCCACCAUCAGUAUUGUAUCCCCUCUUCUGAGAUACGUUAGAUACCAUCAAGCACCUUCCUCCACUGCUUUCCUCUUUUGCCACACAACCCUUUCCAUGAGAAGGCUUCCUCACUUCAUCAUCUUCAGAGUCGGUUGACCAAACCUCCACACCACCGAACUCGUCAUCAGCAACCGAACCCUGCACAAUUAGAGCAUUCAUAGAAGGGUUAGCGGUAGAUUUCUUCUUCCUGGUCUCGUCAAGCUUUUUCUGCAGCAAAGCUUCUUCAUCCUUAUCCUCAUCCUUUUCAGCCAUCUUUUUGAGGACACAAUCCUUUGUAUAGUGGUUUUUCCCUCCACAGUAGUAACAACUUACUUCAGAAUCACCUUCUGCCUUCGGUUCCUUUUUAGACUCUUCAACCUUCGGUUCAUCUUUAACCUUUUCUGAACUAUAACUUCCCUGCCAGUUUCGGUUUUUGUUGAUGGGGAAUCUCUUGUUGAUGAACCUCUUGGGGUUAGACACCAUCAUAGCAUAAUCCUCAGACGUGAGGUCAUACUCCUCCAAUUUGAGGUCUUCGUCUUCCAUCACAGCUUUACUUUUUGACAAGAGGACCAGCGAACCUAGGCUUGAGACCACAUUCUUCUCCUGCAACACAAUCUUCUCCUGAGAUUUGAGAAUGCCCACCAGUUUCGCCAAGGAAUAUGAUUUAAAUUGCUCGUGGGCUUUUAUUGUGGACACAAAUGCUCUCCACUCUGAUCUGAGACCAUUUAAGAACAUAACCUUCUGUUCAAUAAGCUUCCUUUCAAUGUCAUGUUUGAUCAUCUUGCUAAGAAGAUGAUCGAAGCAGUCGAACGUUUGGGUCACAGUUUCUUCGGCUCCCUGCCUGAAUUCUCCAAACUCAGACAAGAGUAAGGUUUGGAUGGAGUGUUCAAGAUCCUCAUCUGUAGAGUACAAUUCACGUAGCCUGUCCCAAAUCUCUUUCGCCGUCGUGCAUGAACUCACCAGCCUAAAAGUGUUGGACUGAAGGGCGAAUCUGAUUAAUCUUAACGCCUUGAUAUUGCACUGAGAUUUAUCUUUUUCAUCUUGCGCAAUAUCUUUAACAUCCUUCAGAAGAUCAUUAUACUCCUUUUGAGUUUUAAUAAUCCUUGAAGUUGCAGUGUGAGAAAACGGUCCAUUAACAAUUGCUUCCCAUAUGAGGUAUCCAUUAUCUUCAGAUCCUAUAACAUAAUCUUCAAAGUGAUGCGCCCAGACUUCAUAGUCAUGGGUGUACAGGAUGGGAAUNGAAUCUUCGUGUAGAUCCAAUGCUGUUAGAGAUAUUGAUGGGAUUCGAUUGCGACACGUCCAUAAUGAUCGAAUAACCUGUUUAAUGAUCAGACUUGUAAUAAAUCAGAUUAGGGCAAAAUAAUAAAUAUUAAGAUACGUCGAUAAUGAGAUGACGGCUUAAUAAAUAUCAACAAUUGCGGAAGACCCUAAUUGAAACCUUUUUCACAGAAAAGAAGUGUAUCGAUUACACAGCCUCCUGCUCUGAUACCAAUUGAUAAGUCUAAAACUUAACUUGAAGAUCGAUUAGAUCUUAAACAGGUUAAAUAAACAGUAAACAGCAAGAACACGAAAACAAUAAACAACUCAAGAAUGGAUCAAACGUGUCGAAUGAUUUAUAAACAACCCUCAGAAGAGCUCGAUAAAGAACACCAACUGUAGAGGGUUAGAAGGUUUACAGGAACGAUAAACAAAGAACUUUGUAAUGCUAUCUUCUUCUGUCAACCGUACUCUCGAUCCUUACCCUAAUAUGCAUGCUAGCAUAUUCUUAUAUAGUAAACCUAACAGCUCACGGUUGGAUAGGCCCAAACCGGAGUACAAAAUAAUGGACUAUUAAACGAGCCCAAAGACGCAACAUAUAAACAAAUCUACUACCCAACACCCUUUUCUGCCAGGAAUUCUUCAAAUUCUCUAUUUUUGAAUUCCAGACCAUUGUCACUCCUGAUGUUGCGAACGACCUUCUUUAGCUGUACUUCAAUCUGCUUGAUGAACACCUUUAGCUUGUGAGUCACUUCAGAUUUAAGCUUUAGAAAGAACACCCAUGUAAAACGCGAAAAGUCAUCAACAAUAACAAGAAUAUAUUUGCUACCACCGAUGCUUACGAUAGAUGAUGGACCACAUAAAUCAAUAUGAAGUAAUUCAAGUGGUUCAACAACUUUAGUGUUUAUUAUAGAUGGAUGACUUUGACGACUCUGCUUCCCCAUUUCGCAUGCAGCACACAAAUGAUCUUUGUCGAAAUUGAGCAGUGGAAGACCUCGAACAUGACCACCAGUGACAAGUUUGUUGAUGUCUUUAAAGUUGAGAUGAGAGAGCCUUCGGUGCCACAACCAGCUUUCAUCAGAUUAUGCUUUUGAUAACAGGCAUAUAGCUGGGUUUCCUUUGAUGGGUUUGAGGUUUAGAGGAAACAUUUCACCCUUACGCUCCAAUUUGAGAAUAACUUUCUUCGUCUUCUUCUCAAUAAUUUCAGAACCCUCAUCGUCGAAUGAGACUUUGAGACCGGUACCUCCAACGAGCUGAGAUACACUGAUGAGGUUGUGUUGUAGUCCUUCCACGUAUGCAACCUUUCUUAUCGUUAAAUCACCGUUAGUAAUCAUUCCAUAUCCCUUUAUGGUGCCGAAGGAGUUGUUUCCAAACUAGACGUUUCCACCAUUUGGAAGAGACCUGUAUUCCCUUAGCACUUCUUUCCUCCCUGUCAUGUGACACGAGCAGCCACUAUCGAUGUACCAUUCUUCGUCAAACUGCUCGUCACUGAUAACCUGCAAAAAUUAAGCAGAUUUAGGAACCCAAAGUUUCUUGGGUCCACGUGAGCCUUUCACAGGUACAGGAAUAGUAAGAGAGAUGUCAACAAGAUAUGUUCGUUUUAUUAGUGUUGUUUCAUCUUUCUUUUUGAUGGUAAAAACUUUGAUUUUAUUAGGAUUAGGUGCGUUCGGUUUAGACUCUGGUUUGGAUGCUGAAACCUUUUGUUUGCCUUUUUGUUCAGCUGAUGAUUGAGAUUUUUGAGAAGGAACAUAAUGGAAUUUAGAGCGAGGUGGAGAUGAAUUGGAAGAAUUAGAAGAAUUAGAUGAGUGAGAAUGAGAGAGUUUAGAUUGAGAUGACUCUUGGCUGGAGACUCUAGGUGAACGUUUUUCUUUUGAUCAUUGGUGGGACUGACCUUAGGGUUUUGAUCUCUUUUGAUUUCAGAACCGAACCUUUGCUUUCGGUUGGUAUCGUUCUCCGAACCGAACCUUUGCUUUCGGUUGGAGUCAUUCUCAGAACCGAACCUUUGCUUUCGGUUGAUAUACUUUUCUGAACCGAACCUCUACUUUCGGUGGUUGUGGUUCUCAUGCAUUUCAACAGGAUUUUUCACAUACUUUAGGUUCUUGUCUUAAUGUGAGAAAUAAGCAGUCUGGGAUUGCCAGAACUGUUUUCUUUCAGAGAGAUUCCUCCUGUAUCUCUGAUUCCUUUGACGUUUCUGAUUUCUCAUCUGCUUCGGUUGAUGAUGGAUGUUGGCUUUUGGUUUCGGUUUUUCUUUGGCUGGUUCACUUUGAACUGAGGAAGUUUCACUAGAGGGAAUGUCUUCUUUUGCCGAACUUCCAUUUUCUUGAGGAAUGUCUUUCGUACCACUAGUACUUGGCACAUCAAAAUUAUCUGGCUUGUUCAAGGGUUCUGGCACGUAUCUACCUUUACUUUUCCAUGAGGUCCUUUUAGAUAAGCCUAACGUUUCAUCUGCAUUAUCGAUUGGAGCUGACCAGAAGAACUCGUCGCAGCCAUCAACAUUGUCUUCGUUUAGAAUUGCUGUGAGUUCAGCAGUCUGAUGUUCGGUUACUCCGAUGACCUUGUAUACUUGAUUUGGAGUAGUCCUAACCUUUUG
rnacentral:lncRNA from 1 species